UGGGGAAUAUUGGACAAUGGGCGCAAGCCUGAUCCAGCCAUGCCGCGUGAGUGAUGAAGGCCUUAGGGUUGUAAAGCUCUUUCGCCGACGAAGAUAAUGACGGUAGUCGGAGAAGAAGCCCCGGCUAACUUCGUGCCAGCAGCCGCGGUAAUACGAAGGGGGCUAGCGUUGUUCGGAAUCACUGGGCGUAAAGCGCACGUAGGCGGAUUGUUAAGUCAGGGGUGAAAGCCUGGAGCUCAACUCCAGAACUGCCCUUGAUACUGGCAAUCUCGAGUCCGGAAGAGGUAAGUGGAACUGCGAGUGUAGAGGUGAAAUUCGUAGAUAUUCGCAAGAACACCAGUGGCGAAGGCGGCUUACUGGUCCGGUACUGACGCUGAGGUGCGAAAGCGUGGGGGAGCAAACAGGAUUAGAUACCCUGGUAGUCCACGCCGUAAACGAUGGAGGCCAGCCGUUUGGGCCGAGCAUGCUCGUCAGUGGCGCAGC
rnacentral:rRNA from 1 species